AUUGAACGCUGGCGGCAGGCCUAACACAUGCAAGUCGAGCGGAUGAGAGGAGCUUGCUCCUCGAUUCAGCGGCGGACGGGUGAGUAAUGCCUAGGAAUCAGCCUAGUAGUGGGGGACAACGUUUCGAAAGGAACGCUAAUACCGCAUACGUCCUACGGGAGAAAGUGGGGGAUCUUCGGACCUCACGCUAUUAGAUGAGCCUAGGUCGGAUUAGCUAGUUGGUAGGGUAACGGCCUACCAAGGCGACGAUCCGUAACUGGUCCGAGAGGAUGAUCAGUCACACUGGAACUGAGACACGGUCCAGACUCCUACGGGAGGCAGCAGUGGGGAAUAUUGGACAAUGGGCGAAAGCCUGAUCCAGCCAUGCCGCGUGUGUGAAGAAGGCCCUCGGGUCGUAAAGCACUUUAAGUUGGGAGGAAGGGCUUACAGCGAAUACCUGUGAGUUUUGACGUUACCGACAGAAUAAGCACCGGCUAACUUCGUGCCAGCAGCCGCCGUAA
rnacentral:rRNA from 1 species